ensembl:lncRNA
AGCGCACGAACAAAAUGCGCUGGGUGUUUGGAAACAAGUCAGCUGCUAACAGAUCACAAUACUCCUCUUCUCCUUGCAGAAAGAGCUCCCAAACACACUCUCGCUGCCCUUUUUGUUGCUGUUGGAGUGAUUUCCAGAAUGAGGAUGGUGCUUCAUGCCCAAACUGCCAUGCCAGGACUCACCUCGGGAGGUUGGUUUAGUGGGAGUAGAUCUCUCCUGCAGCUCAGGGCUCAUCCUUCACUUGGAGGACUCCCUGUGAGGCUCCAGACCAUAGAGCUUGGCCUCUGGCUUCAUGCAAGCCACCAUUCUGCAAUGUCCGGCUGGAGAAGAGAUGCAGGAAGGAAGGGAGAACUGUCUUUAAAAGCAGUAAGGGACACACCAUGACACCUCCUCAACAUCUGCAGGGAGAUGAAACUAGAUGGACUAGACGGCCUUCAGAGGUCCCUUCCAACUCUAAGGAUUCUAUGAAACACACAACCAUCUCCAAACCAUCACGCUCAUUACACUUCACACAUGCUGCCAGAGCUGAGGAGGUUAAGGAAUUCCCAGCUGUGUGAGCCCACGAGAGCCCAACAGUACACCAUCCAAGGUCACAGAAUCACACAAUGGUUUGGGUUGGAAGGAACCUUAAGGGCCAUCUAGUUUCAACCCACCCUCCAUGGGCAGGGCUGUCAAACACUAGAUCAGGCUGCCUAGGACUCCUGAUGGAGAAGAUCCCAAAAGAUCACAGCCUUGCCUUUCAGCAGAAAUACCAUUUCCCUGUGGGCUCCUGCAGGUGGGCUCCUCCAGAGCACUGCCCAGUGCAGUGGAUAAUUAACAGGUGCUUCUGGAGUGCAAGAUACAACUGCCACAGGGCUUCCUGCAGCUCUAGCAGCACUGAGCCCCACUUAGUUAAAUCUCUCUUACUUCCUACGGUAUGAAUCAAUCCCACCAUCUCUCCUCUCCGCACAUCUCAUCGCUCACAGGAUGCAAAGAAGAAUCCUGGAGAGCCCAUUAAAAGCCACUCGACUGGAAAAUAGUUUCUGGCCUAAUUCUAGCACCAGGGUCUUAGCUGGGGAGAGAAAUCUGACAGCAAGAGCGCGCCUGUGGGGAGGAGAAGGCAUAGCUGUUAACUACUUCACCAAUCUAAUGUAUAGCACUCUCCAAGAGCAAUUAAUAAUUAAUAUUCGUAGCCUGCUUAAAUCUGUUGACUCCGUAAACCACAGCCUCUCACUUAAAGGACUCUUGGAAUGCUGAGACAAACUGAAGAACAUCCCCCAUGGAGAGACUCCGCAUAAACAGCUCCUCAGCCCUAGUUUUAAUCCCUCUGCUUCUCUUUAGAGGGAUUCUGCUUCUCUUCUCUUUAUCUUGUUUAAUUAAGGAUAAUUUCUUAGGAACAGCUCUUACAGAGGUGGAUGGAAAGUCCAGCGUGACAGGAGCUGGGUCUCUCUGCUCCCUGCGAUGCUAUACCAGUGCUAUAACGGGAGUAGUAAGGCACUGGGUUGGUACAGGAUGCUGAAGUCACUAAGUCCAAUGCCCCUCAAAGGAUACGUUCAGAUGUUCCCAGGCCACACACACAUACCAGAGCAAAGCUUUGCAGGACAACAGGGGAGGCUCUGUAGCACUGGUUACCCUACAGAUGGACAAACGCUGCCGACAGAUGGUAGUCUUGUCUCCUUUCAGGCACCUGGGAUUAUCAGCCAAGGUAGAUUAUCAGAUUUAAGGGUUUGUAAAUAGAUUUAUCAGAUUCUGGAGUUGGGCUUAUUGCCUCAAAGAUGAGCGAGCACUUUCUGAAGACCAAAAUGAAUCACUAGAGCAUUGCAGCUCAAUUUUCAGAAGCUCCAAGCCUACCGAAGCUCCAGCUUUUGCCCUCUUUUACAAUGGCCAAGCAAUUCCAGUGGAGAACACUGAAGCUCUGCCCACGUCCCUCGGUAAUGGCUGACUCAUAUUAAGAUGAAAGAAAGGCCACUAGCCCUCCCUUAUUAUUCCAUAGUAAAUGUUCAGCACAGCUCCAUGCCUGCUCUCCACCAGCACCCAGACUCACUGCAAAUCCUGUACCACAAUGGGAGAUCACAGACAUGCAAAGUAAAUGCACGGAACUGGAAAGGUUAAAGGCAGCAAACCUCCAUUCACCGCCACCAUUCCAACCAAUCCUCCCUCCUAUGCCAUUACCCCUAAUCCAGUUUGUCCUCAUUCAUAGCUGCAAAUGUAAAGCAGUUUCUCCAGCUCUCACCAUUGUCACCAUCUUAAUCUGAGUUUCAGCCACCAAAAGAUGCCUGAUGUCUAGGCACAAGGUCGCAGUACCUGUGAGGUCAGGGUCGUAUCAGCUGACAGCGUAGGGCUGCAUAUCAGCAGCAUGCUGAUGAAACCAGGCUACAAGGCUUAGUAAGCUGCUACAGGAAACACACACUGCAAGGCAGAGAGGAGGAAUGGAGUAGAACAGGUUUUCUUGAUGGGAACCAUAAGUACUGAGGAUCUGAUUGCCUUCUAUAGAUGUCCCAAACCAGAAGAGUGCUAUGAUUCGGGCCAAGAAUUAGGCACCUUUCUGAAUCUGGGCUAUCUGAUCACCCAGAUUGCCCUAAUUUUGUCUCAGGGGCUGAGCUGAAGCAGAGUUCACCUUUUCUUUUGACGAGACACAAGACUUGGAGAUCUUACUAUCUUUUACAUAUUACAUGUUGGGGUAAUUGAAUAUACAGACAUACGACGUGUGCUGUCGCAGAUUUGGGUCUUUCCUUGUAUGUGUGUCUUAUUUGCUCUCUUGUAACCCAAGUUUGGUAAAACAUGAAAAGUUCUUCUUUCAUUACAAGCAACAUCAUCCUCUUAUCUGUAUUAUGAAUUAUAUUUAAUCACUGCCACGGUUUAAUCUGGUGAUGUUUUUCUAAGAUACACAAAAGUUUAAAUCAGUAAGUCACACAUGUAAUUUUCUACCUUAUUUUCCACAUAAACUCUACUAUUUAGUUUAAUCAGCAUUCAACAAAUACAAUUCUAUUGAAAAUUGUUUUUCUUUCAGAAGUAGAACCGAGAAAGGCCUGCUAGCUAGCAUUUAAGUGAGAUAUCAGGGAACAGUUAUACCACUCUCUUUGAAUUAAUAAUUUGUAUUUAGAAAGGAGGAAAAAAAAAUGCCUAUAUUUUUCCCUUGCUUGCUAUAUAAGCUAAGGACAACCAGUGUGAUUCCUUGGUUAACCUGGCAGUACGGAACCAAGCCUCAUCAGGACGAACCAUGGAAGAAUGUCACAGUUCCAAACAUCAGCACGUGGGGGAAAACAAACAAACCUUUCUUGCUAUUUGCCUCCGUGUUUGUGCAUAUUGUCUUUACACACUAAGCAAAUCAGAUCUUUCCUCUGGGGUCUCACAGUGAGUUAGAUAACCAACAGCUCUGGUUCCCCCAAGUAUAAUAAAAUACUUUUUUUUUCCUUUUUACCAAAAUGAGAACAAACCACAGUCUGACUUUGUAUGAAACACGUUACUCCAAAUCAAACUGCUUUGUGUGAUCACCAGGUACCUGUACAUAUUUUUGGUAGAUUUCAAGAAAAGGAUACAUGAGACUUGAAAUCUGAAGUUCUCCAUUUUCGUUGGAACAUGAACUGGAAGGCUUCUGGAUUACAAAUCUCCUUCCUCUUCCCUCCUCUGAAAUGGGCAAAACCUAAAAGAAUUUCUGAACGUUUCAGGGUUGCUAGAUUUUGGGAGGCAGCCCACAGCAGUACCGUCAUUGAAAGACAACCCACCCAGCUUGCCUAUUUUCAGUUUAUGAAAGGAAACCUGGCGGGUCCAUAAUAUCUGCCAGGGCUUCCAACUGCUAAUGGGAGAGGUGCCAGGAGCUCUCUUGAGCAGGCAGUGGAAUUGCAGAUUGCUGGACUCACCUUACAGCAGUUGAGUGCUGUCGGCUUAAUUCCAACCUUUUCUCCUUCAUCUGCAACCUCCAUUGUAAGAUCAAUAGCAUCUCUUCACAUCCAAGCAACACAUUCUUACAGGAAGAGUUACUGGAUCCUAGCAGCAGGAGCAGACCUAAGAUACACCAAAUACACAAGGAACACGGGCAAAUGGCUGCCUUUACUCUCGUUCCUACUAAUGUUGCCAUUAACAGAUUCCCAGUGCUCACUGCUGUGAAUCCUGACACCCACCAGCACUCCCUCAAAGCAAUUCUUCUUCAUGAAAUCUCUGCUUCCCCUCCGCCCGCUCAGGUUCAAACCUACUGAGAACAACAAUAUUCCCCUGGAAGAAAGAUGGAGUAGGCAAGGUUGGAGAGCAUGAGACUCCUUCUGAAAGCAGGCCCACAGCCGGCAACUCUGGACAACAACAUCCAUUUUGCUAAUGACUGGAAUAAUGAUGGCAUUCUUGUUAGUAACUGUGGAGAUAACAAGGCAAACACUAGUCGUAAUUAUUGUAAAAUGUGCAGAAGGCAAUUUGGAAUAAUAAAUGUUUCGAAUGCAGAGAGCACACGCGCACACAAAAGAGCCCGUCGUUAGCUGGAGCUCUCCGUCUGUGCCAUACAAGGGCCCUCUUGAUUGCAUUGUUUGGAGGAACAUGCCAUGCAGUUGGCUUGGAUUCAAGAACGCCGUGUCCCUCUGCCCCAACAAGACAGCAUCCUUCUGCACCAACACAGCCAUGGCCCACUGCCCAGCAAGACUACAUCCCACUGCCCAGCAAGACUACAUCCCACUGCCCCUGCAAGGCCAUGUCCCACUGCCCCAACAAGGCCAUGUCCCACUGCCCCAACAAGGCCAUGUCCCACUGCCCCAACAAGGCUGCAUCCCCCUGCCCCACCAAGACUACAUCCCACUGCUCCAUCAGGGUAAGCAACUUAUGCAUGCUCCUCUGCUUACUGAACCGCAAGAACUCCUUCUGGAUUCCUGGCUGAAACAAAAAAAAAUCAAAGCUGAGUCAAGGCCCUUGGGAGGGGAGGAAGAAAUUAAUACCCACAGCAACAACAAGCACAGGGUUGAAGUGCUCCAGCAUUUCCACAGGGCUGUGCUGGCAGUGGUCCUUGACAGCUGCAGCCACCACCUUGCAUGCCCUCCAAGUCUGUUGUUGCAUGAGGACAUUUCUUUGCAGUGGUCUCCCCUCACCGUAACACAAGCUGGCAUUUGAGGUGCAACAUGACUCAUGGGCAGCAGUGAGAGAGGAGAGGCAGGAAAAACAGCCAGAGGAGAAGGGUGGGGUGAGGAGUCCAAAGGAUGAGCAAAGGAGAGGAGGAAAGCCAAGGAGAAGAAAAGGGCGCCCCAGAGACUCUUGUUCGAAAAGCUGAAGAAUCUCUGCCAAAGCAAACAGUUGGACAUGUAGGGCUCUACACGUCUCUGGUUAAUUUUGACCAUCUGGCAUUUACUGAAAUUGUCUCCCUUUGUGUUUUCCACGAUGAAGUGGUUUUGUAUUCCCGCCUUCUCUCCUUUGAUUCAACAUGUAGCUUCUGUCCUGCCUUCCAGCUCUCUCCUCCCUACAGUAACUGUUGAGCAAAGAACAUGAGUGUGGGAAUGACUCCAAGGAGGGUACCAGCGGUGGAAGGCGAGCACGUGCACACACACAGACAGCCAUGACCCAUGGACUCUGCCCUCCCUCCUGCUCACAUCUGACGUACUUUGCCCUCUUUGACUCCCAGCCUGGGAAAGCAACAGACCGAGGAGAAAGACGGACAGAAGUUAGAAAGGGGAGCUCAGCCACAGAAAAGCAAGGCAGAAAAACCUUUUAGAAGCAGCAAUUGCAACGUGAUGACAGGCUGGUGGAAUGGAAUUAGCGGAGAGGAGGGCUCUGCUCACGUCCCCCUCUCCUUGAACUGCCGUGUGAUGAGAAAGAAGCCAAAAGAGACAUUUUGUAGGGAACUUUGGCACAAGUGACUCUCCUGCAACAAGGGCGAGAGACUGAAAUAAUCAACAUUUUCUGCAGAGCAGAAAUGCAAACAUUCAAAUUCACAUUUUAACUGACAGUUUCAGUCAAAAUACAUCAGCCUGACGCUCUUCAAUUAGAAGAGAUUCACAGACUCCUUUCAUUGCAUAGCCUGCAGUCCCAGACCAGAUUAUACAGCCACGCUUCCAUAGCUUGCAUUUCCUGUAAGUCAGCAAGGCUCCUGCUGCAUUCCCCAGUUGAUUGCAAGGACUGGCUUAGCAGCAAGCUUAUCCCAAUGAAAAGAAUUAAGGCAACACAACUGCAAGGCUGGGGGAACACCUCCUUUCCUCCAUGUGGGCUCUGAACUUUUCAGAGCCAGAACGUUGCGCGUUGCAAAACCUUCCCAAGUGAGCAUACCCUGAUGCUUUGCGUGCUGCUGUGAUGCUCCCAGUAGCCACAAUGCUUGCGGGCUGCAGGCAGAAGCUCAGCGGCUCUGCUGGCACAAAUUAGCGGAGCUGAAACUUUAGAUCAGUGACAGAGUCUGCCUCCUGGGAGCAGUAAAUUGCAGUGCUGGUCCCCAAAGACCCUCCUUGCCAUUAAGUGAUUAAUGAAUUCAUUAACACCUCUAAGAACACAGGAAAUAUGACACAGACAGCCUGCCUAGGCUUUGCAAAGGAUUUUUUUCACCCUUUUUUGGAACUGCAGAGAAUAGCAACUAAUUAAGCUAUAGGGCCCGUAGCAGCACUACUAUGUUUAUCCUUUGGGGGCAAGCAGAGUGGUGAGAUUCUCUGUCUCGUGCUCUGAUAUGCUUUUAUUUGACCCAUAAUGAAAUGCUAAAAGAAGGGGUUAUUGCUAAAAGAAGGGGUUAUUGCUAUUAUAAACCCUCCCUUUGAAAGAUGAGGGGGAAAAAAAGACAUUUUACUGCAAUGGUUUUAAAUGGGCAGCCCAGGGUGGUGGUUGAGACCCAUCCCUGGAGAUGUUCAAGAAACGUCUAGACGUUGUACUGAGGGACAUGGUUUAGUGGGGAAAUACUGGGGGUAGGUGAGUGGUUGGACUGGAUGAUUUCAGAGGUCUUUUCCAACCUUGGUGAUUCUGUGAUUCUAUGAAUCACAGCAUUCCCAGUUCAAGAGUGGAAUGGUCCCAGGGGAAAACUGGAGGUAACUGUCAAGGCAAGGACGGGGAGAACUGUACAAUUGUCUCUUCAAUCCCUAAGAGAUUCCUUAAUUCUUGCCCUCGAGACCACUCCAGUGACAACCUUAUUUACUAAACAUAAUACAACCAGCAGACUGGACACAUGGGUUAGAGAGUGCGCUGGACUUGUGUCUGACACUUGCAUCAAAGCAAGGCACAAGGUUAUUUCUCAGAGCUCCUGGCACUGCAAAGCAGCUGACAAGGCAACCCUUCCCUGCACAGAGAUGACAUGCACCCUGGAUGGGCUUCCAGAUCUGGUUUCCUGCUGAGCCCAUGGUCUAGCCCCAUCAAAAGGUCCCACCUGCAGCCAGGCUCUACUGCUAUGGAGAAGAUGAGAUUCAUCUCUACAGCCACCAAUAACUGCAGAAAGUCCUCUCCAUAACUAACCAUUACAACUCUCCUUCAACCCCAAAUGGCACCCAAUGGCUUGCGCCAUGGCUUUUAGCAUCCUGUGAGAACUACUUUGAAAAUAUGGGCUUGUGCUGCAUGACCACUCACUUCUGGCAUGGGGAGCCACACCAACCCAGGGGGACAUGAAAUGCCUUGUAUGCAAGUGUUUGCAUUACUUCAGCAUGAACAGAGUGGUGGAGAACCACCGUGUGCACCUGCUGUGGGCAGCUAUUGGGACUUCAGGAGGUUUGAAAUUGUAGAGAAUCAAGCCCAAAAGACAACUUACUUUCAAAGAUGGAUAGUAAAUUGCAGGGAGUUCAGAGAAAGCCACUAGGAAGAUUAAAGGGCAGGAGGUAUUGAUUUACGUAGGAAGAUCAAAAGAGCUAUAUUUGUAUACAGUAGUUUAGCUAAGUGAUGACUACGUGUUUAAAGGGAAGAGUUUGAAGGACAUAAACCAAAUGAGGCACCAUUAGAGUGAGUGCAGUGAAGAGAAUUUAACAGGAGUAAUAGAAUGAAAGAAAAGGAGGGGGGGGGAAGGGAAAUCUCAGCUGCAUGCCUGCUGAUGCUUCUUGGCAGGACAUUGUUGACAGUACCACUGACACAGAAGUUUGGCAAACCAAUGUCCCAGGGCAUUUCAGGGCCCAUCCUGCACUUUGUUGCUUGCCCAUUGCACCUCCUCUGCCAAUGCAGCCUGCACCACACCACAGCACCUGGGGAGGAUCUCAGGUUAGCUCCAACCAUCCCAGCACAAGCACUGCCCUUCAGCAUGGGGACACUGAGAGAUCUCGGACAAAUUCUGAACCAUGGGAGCCCUGUGACUGCUCCACCUUCUUCUAAUCAUAGAAUCACAGAAUCAUUAAAGUUGGAAAAGACCUCUAAGAUCCCCAAAUCCAACCCCAGCCCAUCCCAUCAUGCCCACUGACCAUGUCCCUCAGCGUCGCAUCUCCACUGCUCUUGAACUCCACCAGGGACAGUGACUCCACUACCUCCCGGGGCAGUCUGUUUCAACAAAGCCCAGAACAAAGCAGCUACAUGUCUUAAAUCCACUUCUGGGUGCUCCACUGUCCUGCUCCUUGCACAAGGCCUACAGAUCUCAUCUCCAGAUUUUAAGCUCGUUUAAACAUUAUUGGAGCUACUGCUUCUUGUCUGGACCUAGUGUUUGCAAAGCAUUAACCUGAACAUGGCACAAAACCUGACCCAUCUGCAUGAUCUGGUGGCAUACCAGCUUGCAAGGGACCUGCUGCCUCACCCCACUCUCGCACUGCCCUCUCCUAACUGAGAGAUGCCACAUUUGCAGAAAUAGGGCUGGGACCACAUCCAGAAAACCCAAAACUAUAUUUUUCCUUGAGAUAAUUCAGACUUGAGAAAAAGUUAGCUGAAUUGACUACAAAGUGACCUACCUCAGCUUCCCUCUAUGGGCUCACACUGACAGAUGUCUCACCAUUGCUUCCAAGAAGAGCAGAGCCAGGAGCAUUCUGGAGACCAACACCUUGGAAAGAG